GUGCUCACUUGAACAGCACAUACACUAAAAUUGGAACGAUACAGGGAAGAUUAGCCUGGCUCCUGCACAAAGAUGACACGCAAAUUCGUGAACGGUUCCAUAGUAAA